UAGAAGGAACGGAGGCCCCGAGAGGUUCGACGACCUGCGCAAGGUCACCGGGCUGGGGGCAGCGGGGCUGGGGGCUCCCAGCCGGCUCGGUCCGACUGCGGCCUAGGGCGGCCCCCCAGGCAGGGAGGGGCCCGCCGGUACCUCUGGCUUUUGAACUCCUUCAUGAUCUCCAGGAAGCCGUUGUAAGUGGCAGGGUCGCUGCCGAAGCGGAUCUUCACCUGGUCCAGGCAGAAGGAUAUUACUGAAGAUGAUCCAUGAAUGAAGGAGCAAAGCUAAACAACUGAGAGACCAGCUUUCCCGUGGCUGAGCUCCACACACUGACCACGCCGGCCUUGGACACCGUCAGCAGUGUGGCCUGGGCAGCCAGUGAUGCCGUGCACACCCAGGGGUCGGAGGCAUCGCCUGGGAUAUGGAAGACUGGCUCUGCAGUGUCCAGGUUCCAAGCAGUGACCUGACGGAAUGAGGAGAAGGAAGAGCCACGUCAGUGGGCAGGUUUUCCAGCAUUGAAUGCAAGACCUGUUCUUUUUUAUAGUUCGUGCAUUUUAUUUUCAACAUGGCGUCAGUUCCAAGUGAAGGCAGGGGAGGAGGUAUUCUGGACUGGAUCCUGAAACAGCAAAAGGACAUUUGUGGAAAAACGGAUGAAAUCCAACUAAAGUCUGGAGUCAGGUUGAUAGUAAUUAUCAAUAUUAAUGUCUUAGUUUUGACAAAUGUACCCUGGUUAUAUAAGGUGUUGAUAUUAGAGAAGGCUGGAUCAGGGGUAUAUAGGAACUCUUUAAAUCUUUAAAACUUUUCCAUAAAUCUAAAAUUGCUCCAAAAUAAAAAGUUUUAAAAAUAGAAAAAAACCCAGCUAUGCCAUGUGCAUUCACAUCUGUGUUCAUGACAAAUAAUUAUUGAUUAAAGCAAGUUUCAUGUUUAGCCUCACCAAAAAAAAGUAUCUUUUUAUCAGCAGUUACCAUUUAAACAGCAAACAUUUACUCAUUAAUUCUACUUCUGGGGUUUACUCUAAAGAAAUAAGGAGAGAUACACACAAGAUAUAUGUAUAAGGAAAGUUAUCUCAGUUACUUGCAAGUGCAGAGAACUGGAAACAACCUCUAUUGUUUGUUUCCAGUUAGAAGGGAUUGGUUAAAUCAACUCGAGUGGAGCUGUGCAGGGGUCUUAUGAAGUCACUAAGCAUGCUGCAUUUGAAGAACGUUUAAGGUUACGGGCAAAUGAAGAUAGUUUUAUAAACUGCAUAUAUGGUUUCAUCCCUGUUUUGUUUUAGACACAUGCAUACACACCUGCACACGUGCACAUACCUGCACACACGCACAUGUACCUGCACACGUGCGCACACACCUGCACACGCACCUGCACACGUACACACACACCUGCGCAUGCACCUGCACACGUGCACACCUGCACACACACAUGCACACACACCUGCACACGUGCACACACACCACAUAAAGCAAAAUCACAUAAAUCGUAACAAUGUGACUUCUGGGAUUAUUUACUAUUGCUUAUUAUUACUUUACUGUACUUUCCAAACUUUUGCUGAUAACAAAGAUAAUUUCUAUCCUCAGUUUUGAAAUCAAUCAACACCUCCCUCAUAUUUAAGCCUGCACAGUCCAAUAAAAAUACAAUGCAAGCCA